UUAGAUAGCUGAGCUGGUAGAGCAUGAGGCUCUUAAUUUCAGGGUUGUGGGUUUGAGUCCCAUGUGGGGGAAAAG